rnacentral:rRNA from 1 species
GAUGAACGCUGGCGGCGUGCCUAAUACAUGCAAGUCGAGCGAAUGGAUUAAGAGCUUGCUCUUAUGAAGUUAGCGGCGGACGGGUGAGUAACACGUGGGUAACCUGCCCAUAAGACUGGGAUAACUCCGGGAAACCGGGGCUAAUACCGGAUAACAUUUUGAACCGCAUGGUUCGAAAUUGAAAGGCGGCUUCGGCUGUCACUUAUGGAUGGACCCGCGUCGCAUUAGCUAGUUGGUGAGGUAACGGCUCACCAAGGCAACGAUGCGUAGCCGAACUGAGGGGGUGAUCGACAACACUGGGACGGAGACCCGGCCCAGACUCCUACGGGAGGCAGCAGUAGUGAAUCUUCCGCAAUGGACGAAAGUCUGACGGAGCAACGCCGCGUGAGUGAUGAGGGCUUUCGGGUCGUAAAACUCUGUUGUUAGGGAAGAACAAGUGCUAGUUGAAUAAGCUGGCACCUUGACGGUACCUAACCAGAAAGCCACGGCUAACUACGUGCCAGCAGCCGCCGUAA